rnacentral:rRNA from 1 species
AUUGCACGCUGGCGGCAUGCCUUACACAUGCAAGUCGAACGGUAACAGGUCUUCGGAUGCUGACGAGUGGCGAACGGGUGAGUAAUACAUCGGAACGUGCCUAGUAGUGGGGGAUAACUACUCGAAAGAGUGGCUAAUACCGCAUGAGAUCUACGGAUGAAAGCAGGGGAUCGCAAGACCUUGUGCUACUAGAGCGGCCGAUGGCAGAUUAGGUAGUUGGUGGGAUAAAUGCUUACCAAGCCGACGAUCUGUAGCUGGUCUGAGAGGACGAUCAGCCACACUGGGACUGAGACACGGCCCAGACUCCUACGGGAGGCAGCAGUGGGGAAUUUUGGACAAUGGGCGCAAGCCUGAUCCAGCAAGGCCGCGUGCAGGAUGAAGGCCUUCGGGUUGUAAACUGCUUUUGUACGGAACGAAAAGCCCCGGGUUAAUACCCUGGGGUCAUGACGGUACCGUAAGAAUAAGCACCGGCUAACUACGUGCCAGCCGCCGCUGUAA